rnacentral:rRNA from 1 species
GCGUGAGGGAAGAAGCUCUACGGAGUGUAAACCUCUGUUAGGAGGGACGAAUGUUGUAAUGGUAAAUAAUCAUUAUGAAGAGACGGUACCUCCAAAGAAAGCCCCGGCUAACUCCGUGCCAGCAGCCGCGGUAAUACGGGGGGGGCAAGCGUUGUCCGGAAUUACUGGGCGUAAAGGGCGUGUAGGCGGAUAGGUCAGUCGAGGGUGAAAUCCUACAGCUUAACUGUAGAAUUGCCUUUGAUACUGCUUAUCUUGAGUUCGGGAGAGGGAAGCGGAAUUCCUGGUGUAGCGGUGAAAUGCGU